AGUAAGUCUACUCAGGAUAUUCCAAGAAGCAAAAAUUAUGUCCAAAUACAUCAAGAAACAGCAACAGCCUUUAGUGUUCGAAAAUUGCAGGCCAUCUUCUGUAAGUAAAACUCUUCAGAUUGCACAAACAACAAAAUUCACACUAUUAGCAUAGCAACCAUAUGAACAUGCUUGCAAAACGUAUGACAUCCAGUUCUUGAUACGCUAGGCCUUUAUUGUACUCCAACAAUGGACAUCAGAAACCUAAGUUUAUCACUAACUUCCGCCAGAUCAGAGGGAUCCUUGAAUGAAGCAGGUGGCUCAACUCCAGUGAAA
rnacentral:misc_RNA from 1 species